GCUGGCAGCCGUGCUGCUAGGAUGGGCCCUGGUGGAUAGGUCCCCCAUGAGCAGGGAGAAGGCGCAGAAGCACCUGGAAGCACAGAACACUGAGGGAGCGGCGCCUUUGCCAGUAGAGUUGGAUGGACGAUUUUGGCUGCGCUAUGGGAAGUACAAGCUCAGUCUCUGCGGGAUGCAGCGCAGGGCUGGAGUUCAAGGUUGGACCUCAUGCUCUAAAAC
rnacentral:lncRNA from 10 species